CCGAUAGCAAAAUUCCUGACGCGCAAUCGGGCUAUGAAAAAGCCAUGUCGGUUUUAUUGGCGGCGCAAGCGGGAUCGAAUAUGAU
rnacentral:ncRNA from 1 species